CGGUGAGGCGACUGUCGAUCACGCUUGAAAGAAAAGCACUCGCCAGCUCGAGGGGGAAAUGAGGCUUAGUGGGAGCGGUGGCCCUCGCCAGAAUGAAUGACACUCUUUAAGUAUGCACAUCCACUAUGAGGUGCUUGGCUGAGAGCAACAAAUGAAUAAAAAUAGAGAUCCCACGCUCUGUGAGACUUACAGAUGUAGGACAGUAAAAUCCCACUCUUUACACGCCGUGCUCGGCUUUGCUUUCUGCUGCAUCAGCGACGACAGGAAGCAAUUAAAAGACGCUGCUCUCAGCACACACUUAUCGAAAUAAGCCGGAUGUCCGCUGACUUAAAGGCCACAAAUGGAAAGAUUUACUCACUCGAGGCAAAACUCUUCCCCCUUCCCGUUGGCAGAAGGUGUCACCGCCGGAUAAUCACUCCAAACAGUUGUUUCUGGACGUAUGAGCUCCUUGGGCUACAGGAAGUCUUCACAUCCACGUCCAAUCGCAGGAGUGCCUUGACAAUUCUUGUCCUGCCUGCAAACAUCCAAUAACCUGAACCUCUAAAUGAAUUUCAUGCAGUGUCCAGUGUGUUAAAUGUGACCGUCGCAUGGCUGCAGACGUCAUCUCAGCAUCACACGCUGCUUUUUAACAGAAUUAUGAUAAACACUGAGUGACACGUGUCAUAGUUUAAGAGGAAUAAGCCUCUGAGCAUGCAUCAGGACAUGACAGGUGUUUUUUUAGGUUCAGUCUCAUAUUGACUCUUUCAUAUGGAAAAUCUUAUAAAGAAUGUGAGUCUAACCCUAAAUUAAUCACUGGAGACCUGGUGGAUGUUUUAAGCUAAGAGAGGAAAAAUGUAAUCCUAAUAAAAUGACUUGUGUUACUGUUCUGCACGUCCUUGUUGUGUAUUGGCAUCAUGCACUCUGAUCAUUUUUGCAAAGACUUUCUUUAAAUGUUGGUGGUUGAAUACUUUCAUCACUCACUCAUUCACAGUCAGCCUCUCGUUUUGAGAUCUUCCUCUAAGAAAGCCCACCAACUCCCGUUUAGAAAGACCCGG
ensembl:lncRNA